rnacentral:rRNA from 1 species
UACGAAGGGGGCGAGCGUUGUUCGGAUUUACUGGGCGUAAAGCGCGUGUAGGCUGCUCUGCAAGUCGGGUGUGAAAGCCCCGGGCUCAACCUGGGAAGUGCACUCGAAACUGCAGAGCUCGAGUCCUGGAGAGGAAGGCGGAAUUCUCGGUGUAGAGGUGAAAUUCGUAGAUAUCGAGAGGAACACCGGUGGCGAAGGCGGCCUUCUGGACAGUGACUGACGCUGAGACGCGAAAGCGUGGGGAGCAAACAGG